CCAAGCCUGAGUAAGCAUCAGAAUUGCUCAGGAAGCUCUGAAAGUACUUAUUUCCAGGCCUUAUCCCCAGAGAUUCUAAUUUGGUAGGUCUGAGUUGGCCCCAGAAUUCCAUGCUUUUUUGGUCAUUUUCCAGAUGUCUUUAUUAAUAAAAAGGUUUUAAAUUUUAUAUUGGGAUAUAGCCAGUUUAACAAUGUUGUGAUAGUUUUAGGUGAACAGCCAAGGGACUCAGCCACACACACGCAUAUAUCCAUUCUCCCCCAAACUCCCCUCCCAUCCAGGCUGCCCCGUAACAUUGAGCAGGGUUCCCUGCGCUAUACAGUCCAUUCUUUUUAAAUAAGCUUCCAGACCCCUCUGAUGAUCAGAUUGGGACCCUUGGACUUGUGGGCGGUAAUAAAAGCCUUAUGUUUUUACAUCUCUUUUUCCACAUAUGAAGUGUUUUCAUAUCCCCCCUCUCACUUGAUUCUUACUUUCUCAGAAUCUCAAGAUUCUAAGAAUCUCUGCAGUUUGUGAAUGAGGACACAAAGUCCAGAAUGUUCCCAUGGUUGGUGAAGUCCCAGUCUGGGUCUGGAGCCAGGAUUCCCUACAAGCUCAGCAUGGUUUCCUUCUCACUAACUCCUUCCUAUGAGUGAUGACCCAGGCUUGCUCUACUGGGUAAAGAGCAAAAAACCGUACUGUUGUUCAGUUGCUAAUCCGACUCUUUGUGACCCCGUGGACUGUAGCCCACUAGCCUCCUUGGUCUAUGGGAUUUCCCAGGCAAGAACAUUGGAGCGGGUUGCUGUUUCCUUCUUCAGGGGAUCUUCCUGACCCAGGGAUCUGCAUUGGCAGGCGAAUUCUUUACCACUGAGCCACCAGGGAAGCCCAACAAACGUUACAGGUCAUCAUUAAAUGAACAGUGAGUAGGGCUCAGGCCUCUCCCCUAGGCUCUUUGGGGAGAAAAAGUGAGAGGAAAAUAUUGGCUUCUUCACCCCACUCCAGCCCUCCACCCUUCACCCUGGAGAAUCACACUGGGAAAAGAAUCAGUUAUGGAGACAGGCUCUCUCAGUGGUAGCAAGUAAUAAAGGUUAUUUCCUUAUAGGUGUGUUUUGCCUAGAAAAUCAAGAAGCCAACUGAGAAAGUCAGUCCUACUGGGCGGAAUAACCUUGGCUCACGUGCCACGAGGCCCCUGGAGAGGGACCACGUGGUAAGCCAGGCGGCGAACCAAAUGCCCUCCUUUAUCUGAACGUGGCUCCGGAAGCAGUCCUCUCGCUGCCCUCUGGCUGGUUACCUAGCCCGUCCUGCUUCACUCUUCUAUCUGUGGUGUGGGUGAGGAGAGGCAAGAUAUGCCCGUUGGUGACAUCACUGGUACUUUGAGUAACUUCCUUGUAAUUGUUGUGGGGAUGGCGUGCCUGCUUGCCUUUAAAGAUACUCAUUGAGUCUAGCAAGACAGCCUGUGUUUUCUGCAGUGCUCCUCAAAGUGUGAUCUCUGAACUAGCAGCAGCCCUUGGGAACUUGUUAAAAAUUCAAAUUCUCUUGCCCCACCUAGGCCUUCCUGAGUCUGACAUCCAGAUCUACGCAGUUGAAUUGAUCAUCUAAUUCCUGAGAAUGGAUCAGACCACCAACCUGCCAAGAGUUGAGAUGAGUGAACACAAAGCCCUCAUUCAUAAAUCAUUUGUUAAUAAAUCAUGAAGCAUGAAACUCAA